UCAUCACUUCCCCUGUUUCAUCACUUCCCCUACUCCCCUGUUUCAUCACUUCCCCUGUUUCAUCACUUCCCCUACUCCCUUGUUUCAUCUCUUCCCUUGUUUCAUCUCUUCCCCUGUUCCCUUGUUUCAUCACUUCCCCUACUCCCCUGUUUCAUCACUUCCCCUACUCCCCUGUUUCAUCACUUCCCCUACUCCCCUGUUUCAUCACUUCCCCUGUUUCAUCACUUCCCCUACUCCCUUGUUUCAUCUCUUCCCUUGUUUCAUCUCUUCCCCUGUUCCCUUGUUUCAUCUCUUCCCCUGUUCCCUUGUUUCAUCACUUCCCCUACUCCCCUGUUUCAUCACUUCCCCUACUCCCCUGUUUCAUCACUUCCCCUGUUUCAUCACUUCCCCUGUUUCAUCACUUCCCCUGUUUCAUCACUUCCCCUGUUUCAUUACACUCGGUGGACAAGGCAGGCAACUCCGAAAGUCAUUAUUUUGUGAUGUUUGACUGUCCAUUAGGCUCCAUCUUUAGUUGUUGUGGAGGGGAGGCUAUAGUAGUGUGUCUGUGUUCCAGGUGAGCAUGCAGGAGUGUGGUUCAUUGACAUGAAGAACGGUGGGGGCAGUGCGGGUAGUGGAGAACCCCCAGUCAAAGCUGACGUGGUCAUGACCAUGGACAGCGCCUGACUUCACCAAGAUGUUCGCAGGCAAACUAAAGCCCACCUUGGCCUUUAUGUCAGGGAAGCUGAUGAUUAAAGGAGACAUGACCCUGGCUAUCAAGAUGGAGAAGAUGAUGUCCAUGAUGAAGUCUAAACUCUAAAUUAUAACAACGAAGAGAUGCCUAUUCGCUACAUCUGGUGCCUUCAACUGGGAACUUUAUAAUAUAAUAAAAAUUAUAAUCUGAAUUAUAGUCUGACUGUUAAAAAUGGUGGACUGUUUCCUCCGACACAUUGGUGCGGCUGGCUUCCGGGUUGGAUGCGCGCUGUGUUAAGAAGCAGUGUGGCUUGGUUGGGUUGUGUAUCGGAGGACCUUCGUCUCUCCCGAGCCCGUACGGGAGUUGUAGCGAUGAGACAAGAUAGUAGCUACUAAAACAAUUGGAUACCAUGAAAUUUUCCACGAAAAAGGGGGUAAAAAUUCAACAAACAAAAAAAACCAACAUCAAAAUAUUGUGAUGGUGAGAUCUUCAGGUCGGAGAUCCACGACGAUGCCUCUGAAUUCUGACGUUAUAGAUUUACAAGUUCCAUGUUGUCUAAAAUGGUACCCUGUAAUAGAGGGAACCCGGGUGUCAAAUGGGAUACCCAGAAUGUCUAACGAAAUGUGCCGUUUUCCAUCUCUCUGAAUGUGUCCUAACUGAACUGUCCCUCCUCCCUCUUCUUCUCUAAGUUUUCUAAUAAACCAGUUGUUCUAAUUGUA